rnacentral:tRNA from 1 species
GGCCCCAUCGUCUAGUGGCUUAGGACGCUGCCCUCUCACGGCAGAAACCGGGGUUCGACUCCCCGUGGGGUCA